rnacentral:lncRNA from 1 species
GUUUGCAACAAUUGUAAUUCAUUCAGCUUCAAACUAGGAAAAAAUCAGAAAGAAAAACCAAAAUGUUGAAAAUUCGAUUCAUACUUGAAGACUCAUUAUACUACUAUGAUUUACAAAAGAAAAAUAACAAAGGUGUGCAUUUAUACUACAAUUCAUGAGAGAAACUUUAUAACUAAACUAAACUACUGGGCCUAAAGCCCAAGCCCAAUAUCCUAGGCCCCUGAAAGCUUGGACCAAUCACUGCCUGCUAUGUGAGUUCUUCCAUCGGGAGUCAAAGCUGGGUAUGGUCAAAUUCCACAGAUAUGGGCCUGAAUAUUUACCAGGCCCAAUAUGUACAUUACAUGAAAUUCAAAGCAUUUAACAGACCUUCCUUUACAAAAUGAGAUCCCCAUUUAGUUCAAUGUUAAAACAACCAGUCCUGAAUACAUUUGAUAGGAGAAAUCGAUGCUAAAAAAACUAAAACGAGUUAAUUACAUGAAGAGCCUUAUAAGCAUAAAAACAACUUUAAAAUUUUGGCUAAAACUUAAAGAUAAAAACGUACACAGUUAUCAUGCUGCCUUCUGUAGAAUUGACAUGAAAAGCUGCCUUGAUUUAAAUUGCACCUUGGAUGGCUUUGAACAACUUGUGGUCAAACCAAACAAGUUAGCCUUCUGGACUGUAUCAAACCAAAAAGCACACACUACUUAAUACUUACUACACUUAAAGAAAACUGAGUUUUAAGUAGGUGGUCACAUAGGAACUAGGUUAAAUGGAAAUGAUCAAACAAACCAGUAAAGCACACACCAAAACAUCUCAAGGAGUCAUGGACAUUUAAAACAAGCAAAUGAACUGAUAAGGUCUUUAAAACACCAGUUUUACAUUCAGCUUUUCCAAGCAAAUAGUUACAGAAGGUAAAAGGAACACACCUAAAUGCAGAAAUAGGCUGAUAAAAGACCAAAUAAAGGUCAAAAAACCAAAAUAAUCAAAACUAGCCCAGCAAACCACAAACUUAGAAGAAACAACUUAACAGUGCUGAAAAACCAACGGAAUCAAGUAGCAAAACAGCAGUAUCACAGCAGUCUCAACUCAAACCAUCUUGCAACCAAAAGCCCAGAAAUUUUGAAAGAGAAAUAUUCUGAGUAUUCUUCUAAGUUUUUGCAAAAUCAGAUGUGCUUUUCAGAGGUUUUGUGUAGAGAAAUCAGGCUGAGUCUGUAUUUUAUUUUUGAGUAAACUUAGAAUGAGAAAAAAUGCAGAGAACUUUUAGGUCUUUUUUAGGUUAUCCAAAUCUCAAUCAAUUUUUUUGUAUAGAAAUGGUACCAUAUAUAGGUACCAAAGAUGCCAUGUGCUGUAGGAAUUAUUCCUCAGCCACAAAAAGCAUAUUCCAACAGAAUUGGAUAGCUGGUUUUCCCUUAUUGCUUUCAGUACUUUGUACUAACCAAAUGAGGCUAGCUGCCCCUCUUUUCUAGAACAUUCCAGCCUAAAUAUUAUCUGAUUUCAACAACUAUCUAACCCUCUAUGAUCCCCUAAGUUUCUUUUUGUUCAUUUAACACCCUAAAAGUCCUGAACAUUUACAAACUAAACAAAUAUUCUCUAAUAGAAAUCACAAGCAACUUGAAUCAAAUGGCAUCAGUUUUUUUUCUUUUAAAACCUGAAUAGGUUUAACAAGAAAUGAAAUCAGAUACAAUCCAUCGAUUGAACAAUUUAAAAUUUACAUUUAGCAAGUAACAACCAAUGAUAACCUAUUUCAUCCUUUGAAUCAAUUAAAUCAACCAAUUAACAGGGAAUCGAAUGGUACUAACAUGCUGAUUUCAAUUUCAUUGAACACAAACAAACCCAAAUUGGAAAAAACCUGGAACCCUAAUGACCUAAUGGCAAACUCAAACAUUACCCCUAAACUAACUUACCAUCAUUAAUGAUUAAGCACAAAAGCAAAUUAACAAACUUAAAACCAGAAACCCUAGUCAUGCAAUUAAACAAAACAAACCCAUGAAGAACGAAAGAAGAGGAGAAGAUCAGAAGGAAACAAAUAAAACAAAGUAGAAGAAAAAUACCCUUGCUUGCUUCGAAUUGAAACUUUUCAUGAACUUGAACAACCUCUUUAAAGAAAGAAAUGAACCUUUAACUAUCAUUAAUCGACUGUCCUUAACAAGGAACAAUCGAUUAAUGACGGUUUGGUGUUCACCCGACCACGUACUGACCAAGAAGGGAAGAGGGGAAAAUUUAGGGUUUUCCGGAAUUUGAGAUUUGAAAUUCGAUCAAAUUAGGGUUGAUUCGAGGGGGGAUAAGGGUAGUUUGAGGUUUAGGUAGGGGCAAGGACUAUAGGGUGUUAAUUUGGGGCGGGUUGGAGUAGUUAGGGUUUUGGUAUUGACAUUUCUAUUUGAGAUUCGAAGAGUUUGAUAGUGAUUCGAAAGAAAAUAGUUGGAGAUAUGGACUGAGGAGGUGAAGGGGGUUCAUGGUGUGAAUUUGGGAAGCUUGGACCACCGGAACCGUCGUGAGGUGAUU